UACAGAGGAUGCGAGCGUUAUCCGGAUUUAUUGGGUUUAAAGGGUGCGUAGGCGGGAUGCCAAGUCAGCGGUAAAAAUGCGGUGCUCAACGCCGUCGAGCCGUUGAAACUGGCGUUCUUGAGUGGGCGAGAAGUAUGCGGAAUGCGUGGUGUAGCGGUGAAAUGCAUAGAUAUCACGCAGAACUCCGAUUGCGAAGGCAGCAUACCGGCGCCCGACUGACGCUGAGGCACGAAAGCGUGGGGAUCGAACAGG
rnacentral:rRNA from 1 species